GUGACGCAGGGUGACUUUGUUUUUCGACCACCGUUGCACAGCCCCCCCCCAAACAGGCGGGACAAACAACUCUACCCACACCCACUACAGAUUUAUGCUGCUGUAAUGGACUAACCACCAGCGUUCUCACACAGUGGGAGGUCAGAGAUCAGCCUGACACAUGCCAGCACCCCCUCCCACCAACAUUGUCUUGGACGUGAAUUACAAAGAGGAGCUGCAGGACCAGUCGAUCAGACGCCCGCCCUACCUCGUGAAUGAAUUUACUUCAAUUAGAGGUUGCAGUCGAGCACAAGAGGACAAAGCGUGUCGUCUUUUAUGAACAUUUAUUGUUACACAGUGUAAUGACCAUGCACGCUGUGACCCGAGCUAAUGACACCAUAGAUUAACUCCAGUGGGUAGCCUUUGGGAAAGUCCAAAACUAUUCCAAAGGUAUUGAUUUCGAGGCUUGCUGUGAAAUUGAACUGUCAGGUGUUCCACUGGGCCCUGAUAUGAUAUUGAUUCCUCCUGCUUAGCGACCAACAAAGAGUCUGGUUACCUGAAACAGCUCGGACAAGAGGACCCCUCCCCCAAAACUGCUUAUUGGAAUUUUAAAUAGAAAUUUGAUAAACUCUGGCUCUCAGGGGAAUGUGAGUGUUGCUACCUGGUCUCCAGACACUUUCUUUCUGCUCUCACUAAGACCAUUAGCCAUGCUUGGUGAUUUGAAUCCACUUCUGCAUUAAGCAGAAGCCUGAUGCUGAGAUCUUCUCUGUUACCACUAACAGUGGUAACACAACACUAACUCAUGGCUUUCCCAGCAACACUGGCUAGUAGGAAUAUUUGGAUGCUAUAGCCAAAGAGGAGCUCCUUUUUUGGAUAACAUAAAUAGUUUAACAGCCAUUAAAAGGUCAAAGCAGCAGACAUGGCUCAUAUAUGCAGAAAGUGUCCUUUAAUGUCUGGGCCCCCACACAUCCGAUCAGUAAAACGGGUCCAUUGCUCCUAAUUGUUGAUUUCCACAGAGCAGGUUUAUGAUUGCAACUCAAGUAAUCCUACUGUAGCUCAUCAAAAUCGAGCAGUUUUUGGUGUUUGGAUCUAACCAGCAAGUGAAAACAAAAGUACAGUGAAUCAGCAACUGGAAAAAAACAAAACAAAGGUCCCAAAAGUAAACCACAGUCUCCUGGUUGACAAAACUGCAACUUGUACCACUGCCAUUCCUCCAACACGCCAAUGCAGACUUUUGGAAACAGAGCAGUUAUCUCUCAAAUGCCAGUAUUGGUGCACAAAGGGAUGCAUAUGUUCACAUACACAGGCAUGAAACUUUGAAAAAGUGUUGCUGCAGUGGUUAGUUGCAGCUCUGCUUCACAGCAAGAGAGUUUGAGCUACAGUCCAAAGACAUUUGGUAGGUUAACUGGUGAUUCUAAACUGGCCGUAGGUGUGAGUGUGAUUUAUUGACUGCCCAUCAUAGCAAAUUCUGUCCAAGAGUAGAGUUUUAAAUGCGAGUAGACAUCUUCAUGAAUCCAAAAAUGUGUCACACUCACACCGUGAACUCUACAGCUCACGGUAUCUGAGAUAAGCAAAAAUGUGACCUAUAAGCGAGGCGUACUAGGAAAAAGCCUUUGCAAUCCAGUAAGAACAUUAGAGCAGAAUUAGUUUGCCACUGAAUGUACUGUUUAAGGAAAGAAGGGGACAUUUUGGGAAAAAUGUGCUCUGACAGAUAAAUGAAAGCCAGAGGAACAUUUUUAGUCUUGAUAAAAGAAUAUCUCGAGAGAAAAACCUCAUAGCAACUGUGAAGCUAAAUGGUCUAAAUAUUCUGGUUUCUUUUAGUUUCACUGCCUCAGAAACCCGGCAGCUUGUAGCCACCGAAUCUGUAAAUUCUGCAACAUCUCAAAGGGUGCUUGACAAUUUUUGAGGCCAUCUGUUCAAAAGUUGAACUUGCACCAGAAGUGGACCUUUCAACACGACAGCGAUCCUGAACACUCGAGUAAAUCCACCAAGGGGGAACACAAAAGGCUAAAGAAAUGGAGUGUUUAGGAAGAAAAAAAACAUGGAAAUGUGGUGGUGGAUUUGAAACAGGCAGUUAUUACAAGAAAACCCCCAGACAUCUUGCAAAUGAAGGACGGGUAAAAAGGACAUGCUGGAUAACCAUCAGCUGCCAGAAGACUGAAUUAUUAAAUUACAAUUUAUAAAACAAACAAAAAAAACUCAUUUUUGGCUGAAUAUAUAAAAAACCAAAACACUACAAGGCUUACAAGAACAAACCCCACUUCCUGUUUGAUCUUUAUUUCUUUUUUGGUUUUUUCAAUCUUGGUUAAUAAUUGGUUCUAAAAUGAAAUUCACGCUGCCUUCUGUCACUUUUUCUGUCAUUUACUUGAUGCCCUUCUUGCACUUUCUAGCAUUUUUUACAUCUUUUCUUUUAUUAUUUUAUACUUCCAGUGAUACUGGUCAAUAACCAUGGAAAGGCAUUGCAUGGGUGUCUGGUCACAAGCAUUUCUUGUCAGAUAACUAAUUUUUAUUUAUUAUUAAAAAAUUUUGUUAAAAAAAACCAGCCACACAGUACAUGAACUUUUCUUCCUCACAGUAAUAUUAAGAUGAUUUCUUGCUUUGUAUGAGAUGAUCUAAAUCAAACCACUGUGGCACAAACACCACUGACAGUGUUUGUGCCAUGUUGACGAUGAAUACUAUCGCCUACAGUAUAUGUGUGGAAGUGCCCUGAUCCAGGCCUUCAGUUUGUGUGCAGGCUUUGUUUUUUGUGUGUCUGCCUAAAUUUAAUUAACCAUGAUUUAGAUGUAUGAUGAUGUUUUUUUCCCUCUAGUAGCCGAUUUGCAAAAAAAACCCCUGGACGUUCCCGGCUACAAACUGGGACUGUACUGAAUUGCAAGAU